CCCCGGAGGAGCCAGGGUGCGGAAACCGGGCCUGGUGCUUUCCUCGCGGAGGCGGAGGCCGGGCUGCUGGGCCCGCGGCCCUCAACCGCCUCCUCAUUUCACAGAGGAAACCCCCGAGCCCCUCGUGUCCUGCGAUCCCUGCGAGCGGGGCCCUGCCGAGCCGGGGGGGAGCCCGGGGACCAGGCUGCACAGCAGGGCCCGACAGCAGCCCCCUGCCCCCUGUGCAAGGCCUGUGGCUGCAGGGGGGCUGCGCUUGGGGCAGGGCUCCCUGGGGGCCCCUCGGCGAGCCCCAGCCCCUUCGCAGAGGCUCCGCUAGCCGGGGUGAUCCGUGGCGUUGCUCUCUCUUUGCCCUCAGGUGUGAUGCCCCGGGGAGAGGACCUCGGCCCAGCUUUACAGAGCGGUAAAAUUGCAGGGCUAGAAACGCUGACAGCCAGCCUAAAAUGGAAGAAGGGAAAUGCGGCUGCAGCAGAGGCUCCAGGCAGAGCAGCCCGUGGCGGUCCCGCGAGCGCUCUUCCCCGGCCUGGCGCACGCUGAGGGUAGGUGCAGAAAUCGUGGCUUUACCAGCAGGGCAUCGCUGCCCUCUAGUGUCCCUGCCAUGCACUGCCGGGCUGCCGCCGCUGGACAGCGAGGGGACAAGUCACAGCAGAGGUCAGGACGAGGAACAGUCCGACUCCGCCAAGAAGAUGCGACUCUAGUAGCUGGGGCAUUGGCUGGCUCGCAGAGAGGAAGCUCGCUGUUC